ensembl:snRNA U6 U6 spliceosomal RNA
AUUCUUGUGUCAGCAGCACAUGUACUAAAAUUGGAAUGAUCCACGGAAGAUUAGCACGGUCCAUGCCUAAGGAUGACAGGCAAUUUCAUAAAGCAUUCCAUUAACUA